UCAUUUGGCUUAAUCCAUGUUUCUGUUAAACACUUUACAUUACAUUAAACUUCUGAUCAGUAAUAACUUCAUUAACAAUUAGCGCUUUUGAUGCAAGAGAUCUAAUAUUUAAUAGCUCUACCUUUAGAUCAAAGGUGCUGGCAGUGGCUGUACAGUCAAUAUGAUCUAAUUUUAUAUUGAUUAGGUUACUGAAACAAACUCUGAGUAGUUCUACUUUUUUGUUUAGCUCGGGGAACAGACAUCUUCUCUAUGUAGUGGACCCUGAGUGACGACUCUGUGCAGCUAGCAGACAGUCUGUUUAGCCUGUUUGUCUGCUCCCUGGCCUUGGCUCUGGAUUGUCAGAAGUUAAUUAGAAAUUAACCUGUUCUGAGACAUGAGCUAUACUGUAAGAAAUGAGAGCAGCACCUUCCCGAGUGGGAUGGAUACCAUUCCGCCCUAACAGGCCAGCAGUGCCCUCAAAAUUAGUCCAAUUAUCUAUAAAGCCCACAAUGUUUUCAGAGCACCACCUGGACAACCAGCAGUUCAGUGACCAUACCCUGCUGUAAGCUGUAUCGCCACACCUCAUUGAGAUGGAGCCAGAACAUAGUACAGCAUCGGACAUCACCUUUGCUAAUUUAAACACCUCUACAAAGUUACUCUUAGUAACCUCAGACUGACGAAGGCAUACAUCAUUAGCUCCUACAUGGAUAACUAUCUUUGAGAACCCGUGCUUGCCUAGGACCCUAAGAUUACCAGCAGCUUUAGUAAAGUGUAUACCGGUGUCCUGGCUCCUGGUAUACACUUUAAUAAAGCUGCUGGUGCCCCUAAAGUCCUAACUAAUUUUACAUGUCAUGUGAUAGACUCCCCUAUAACCAGAGCUCUUUCAGGUUUCUCAGUGAGUGCAUCCCUAAGGAGAGCAAGCCUGUUCGACAUGUGAAGCAGAGAGGAGUGGUGCUCCUGUGGGCAAGCCUCAGCGGUAGCUUUGGCUCUAUGCUUAUGCUGCUGAGUCAUCAUCCAUUCACCCCGCUGUGAGGGCUCUAAUGCCAGAGUUGGGGGAUUACUAACUCCACCUAGGGCAUCCAGACUUUCCCCUGCAGAAACUACACUGUUCUCAUUCUCACUAGCCCUCUCUAGAGUCUGAAUACACACCUCUAAAGCUGCAAUCUUCUCUGUCAGAGAGCUAACUAAUCUGCACUUAUCACAAAUAAAGCUAUCACUAGCGACGGAGGAAGGAUGACUAAACAUCCUGCACUCAGCACACUGAACAAGCUGAAUGUGUGCCAUGAUGAAAAGAUUCACAUACCUUAAUCAAGGAUCUGUUGAUAUUAAAGCAGAUCCGAUGUGGAUGGCCUCCAUUUGUGGCCUUUAUGCAGGAGGAGAAAAAAGAAAGCUUCCGGUCUUGGCGUUCUUCUGAAAAAAUUUAAAAUGCGGAAAAAGGAAAGUGAAAGUACAAUAAAAAAAUGAAAAGGAUGCUGGAAAAUUAUUUGUAGAGAAAAUAGAAAAGAUUAGUGAUUAAUGCCAACACUCGUAGAAAAAAAGACUCAUUGCAAACAACUUGGAAACCAGGAAGUACAUCGCACAGAAUGCGAAUAUGCCAACUCUCACACUUGCACCAACUCUUUCGAGGCCCUGUAAUCGGAAUGAGCGCAUCCUAAACCCAUGGGCGAGGACCCAUUGGAGGGCAAGUCUGGUGCCUGCAGCCGUGCUUACCUUUGUCAUAAUCAGUUAUUGUUCUUUUUUGGGAAUUUCCCAUAACAUUCUGGCAUGCACAAAAUCUGCCUUGAACAAGUGCUGCCAGGCAAAACAAACCUUGCCCAGCAGCACUUAUUUUAGACCUAUAUGUUGAUAAUGGUAAUAUUUCUCAAUCAUCUUCUGUCAGCUUAUAGUCCUAUGAAAAUCCAUGACCUUGAGUUUGACAUUUCAAAGUCAUUCAAGGUCAAAGGUCAUGGUGGCAACUGAAAGCCCAUACGGGACUUCUUAUAUGUUGAUAAUGGUAAAUUUCUGGCUAUCAUGAACCAUUUUAAAGUUAUAGCCCUUUGAAAACCCAUGACCUUGAGGUUGACCUUUCAAAGUCCAAGAUCAUGGUGUCAAAUGAAAGCCCAUAUGACACUUCCUAUAAGUUGAUAAUGGUAAAUAUCUGUUUACCAUCAACCAUUUACAAGUUACAGCCCUCUGAAAAUCCAUAACCUUGAGUUUGACCUUUCAAAGUCACUCGAGGUGAAAGAUCAUGGUGCCAAAUGAAAGGCCAUAUGGGAGUUCCUGGGCUGCCAACUCUCACGCAAUGAGCGUGAGACACACACAUUUGACUGUCUUCACACGCCAUACCUCCGAUUUCUCACGCUAGAAAAAAAAUCUAGUUUAUCUAUCUGAUCUAGGCUACCCAUUUUGAAGCCAUACUGGAAAUGUUGUAAAAUAAAGCAAGUAAGAGAUAAUAUUACAAAUGCAAGAAGAGCCAUUAGCCACCAUGCCUAUUGUUUAUUUACAGGGUAUUUAUUUUUUAAUUAUUUAUGAUGUAUGUAAUUGCUCAGUUAAAGUAAAUAAAGCAUAUUACAGGUGACUAUCAAAGAACUUGACCGUUUUGCUGUAGGCCUGCCUACCACUAAGAGCAGGUAAGAGUCAGAAUAAACACAAGAAACUUGUCCUCCAGGAAAAGGCAUGUUGUUGUGACUGCGUAGAUUUAUUAAACCAACAUGACUAUUUGAAUUCUUUCAAAGGUAAGAUUUCCCGAAGGGUAAGACCACUGGCAGGACAAAAGCGGAAUAUUUUAUUUUAUUUGACAGUCCAGCCAAGCCAGAAAAGGCAGACAGGACAGACAGAACAACAGACAGAAGAGCAGCAUUCAGAACAGACAGAACGACAGACAGAAGAGCAGGAGACAGAAGAGCAGGAGACAGGACAGACAGGAGAGCACACAGAAGAGCAGGAGACAGGACAGACAGGAGAGCACACAGAAGAGCAGCAACAGACAGCAUCCCCCCCAGAACAGCAGCCCAGACAUGGCCCAAAGGGUCAUGCAUUGUCUGGGGCAGCAUCAUAUCGGUGUGCUUUUAAAAAUAAGUGGACCUCUACAUGGCCAUUCAUUACCAGAGGGAGCCUCAACACGCACUACUGGUGUGCAGUACGCCGUAUGGAGAACACGUGUUGCCACCAGGGUGUAGUGGAUGUAGUGCGCCACAUAAAAAGCAAAAGCCAUCAGGACAAGCAACGGGCUCUUCAGUCCACAGCCUCAAUAUCCCAAUAUGCAGUGUCUGCUCCCUGUGUUGGGGGGGAUGUCCGACCAAGAGGUUAAGGUAUGCUGUGUGUCAUGGUCCUGUCAAGGUUAGAGUUUUUGUGUCAGGUUGAUCAUGGUAUCAUCAUGAUUGACAGUCUUGACUAAUUCUGUUUUUUUUUUUUUAAAUCUCUGCAUUAUGUUUUACAGUUGAGUUUUCUUAGUUCUAUGUCUUAAGAGCUCAAUAGGGCACCUGUGCUCUAUUUUUUCUGGUGUCUCUUUAAACUUAACUAUGUUCUUUUAGGAGUGCUAAUAACUUCUUUUCUUACAGACAAGGAGGGCUGAGGUCAAAAUGACUGCAACUUUAGUUGAGCACAAUGUUCCACUGGCAUUUUCUGACCACCUGGGGCCUGCACUGAGAGAGUGUUUCAAAGACUCCAAAACAGCUCAAGAAUAUAGGUGUGCUCGAACAAAAGCUUCGUGUAUAGUCAAUGAAGCACUGGCCCCAUACUUUAUAGAGGAGUUAGUGGCAAAAAUGAAGGAAGCACCCUACACCUUGAUAACAGAUGGCUCUAAUGAGACAGUAUGUGCACAACCAGCAGGAAGAGCUGUGAGACAGCUGACGUGAUUUUUUCAAAAAUAAAUGCCACCCUAGAAGAGAAGGAUAUUCCUUGGCGGUACUGUGUGGGUCUGUCGGUAGACAAUGCUGCCGUGAACAUUGGUCUACACAACUCUAUCGCCUCCAGAGUCCAAGAGAAGCAUUUACAUCCAUGGCUGCCCAUGUCAUGUAAUUCAUAACACUGCAAAAUCAGCAGGGGCAGGCUUUUUUGAUGUGUCCAGUUUUGAUUUGGAGGACCUGGUAGUCGAUAUCGGAUACUGGUUCAAGGGUAGUACAAAUCGAAAAGGGUACUUGACAGAGUUUUGUGAGCUCCAUGAAACAGUACAUGGAGAUCCUCAUGCACGUCUCCGUUCGUUGGUUAAGUCUUGAGCACUGUGUAACACGGAUCCUGAGACUUUAUGAACCACUGGCCAGCUACUUCAAAUCUGCUAAUGAAAAGCAGGCGAGGUUCAGGAGACUUCAGGCAGUGUUCACUGGCCCCAUGACUGAGGUGUACCUACUGUUCUUCCAGGCCAGCAUACCAACAUUCACCACAUUUAACCUCCUCCUCCAGCGAGAGCAGUCAUCAAUAUUUUUGUUACAUGAUGAGAUGCUAAAAUUCAUUCGCAAGCUGUGUGCGAAGUUCAUGGUGUCAACAGCACUGCAGGGCUGCGAACCAGCUCAUGAAAUUCCCUAUAAAGAAAAGGCCAACCAUUUACCAGGAAGAAAACUGAACAUUGGCUUCACCACCAGGGCGAAGCUCAACAGGUUACUGGAUGAUGGAGACAUCACACCACAGCAGAUGGAGAAAUUCCAUGAGGCUGCUUUGGCAUUUCUGAUCAACGCUGUGGACUACGCUUUGAAGAAGCUGCCCCUCCAAGAGCCACUGCUCAAGCAUGCCAAAUUUGUAGAUGUCUGACAGAGGUCUGAAUGUGACAUAGAAGAUGUCCUUUACUUUGUUGAGGGGCUUCCCCACCUGCUCCCAUACCAUGGACCAGCGGAGCAUGAUCUACUGGCAGAGGAGUUUCUGGAGUACCAGACAAUGCAGUUGCCACCACUGCAGCACCCAGAGGAAUUUGAAAUUGAAAGCUUCUGGGCUGAAAUGGCUACACGGAAAGAUAAGGUGACAGGAGUAAACCAAUUUCAGAGGCUUGCUGUGAUUUCAAAGCUGGUCCUCGUCCUCCCACAUUCCAAUGCAGAUGCAGAAAGGGUGUUUUCUGUGGUGGGCCUCAACAAAACAAAGACAAGAAACAGUUUGGCCCUAGAUGGUACCCUUUCUUCAAUCAUGACUGUAAAGAUGGCAGACUUGGAGCCCUGCUUUAAGUGGGAGCCCUUGCCCACGAUCAUCAAGGCCUCCAAGAAGGCCACAGGCCUGUACAAUCAAGCACACAAAACUUAGGACUUCUCUAGCUUUUUGUGAACAUACUGUUGAAACAUUGUUCAAAUUCAGUUUUUUGCAGCACAUCUGCUCACUGUUUAAGCACUUUAUUUGAUUAUUUGUGUAUUGCUGUUUAUGUAAAUGUUCUGCUAAACCCAGUGGUGUGAAAACGCCUUGAAUGAAGAAUGGAUGUCUCUGAAAGACUAAUCUUGUAUCAUUUUUUGAUGAAACCUAAUGCUCCUCAGAAUGCAAGAGUUAUUCAAAACAUCAAUCAAGGACAUUAUGCAAUAGGCACAUAGGCAGUGAAAACGCAGGGAAACACAUUUUGGUACAAAUAAGUAGCCUAAUUCAGCCAGAAAUUAUGACAUUGCAUAGUCUCCUUCAAUUCAAGUCAAUCCAAAAAGAUUGAGGUGUCAGUUAAGAAACAUAAGUUUGCACAAAUUAUAUGC